AAAGUGAAGAGUGACGAUAACCACUGCUGUAAAACCAGCAGGAAGGAUGAAGAACUGCAGAGAAGGUUCUGUUUCUCAUCUAAAUAAAGGUCUCAAUCCAGA